rnacentral:rRNA from 1 species
UUUUGUCUCAAAGAUUAAGCCAUGCAUGUCUAAGUAUAAGCAAUCUAUACAGUGAAACUGCGAAUGGCUCAUUAAAUCAGUUAUCGUUUAUUUGAUAGUACCUUACUACUUGGAUAACCGUGGUAAUUCUAGAGCUAAUACAUGCUAAAAAUCCCGACCUCCGGAAGGGAUGUAUUUAUUAGAUAAAAAACCAAUGCCUUCGGGCUCUUUGGUGAUUCAUGAUAACUUAACGAAUCGCAUGGCCUUGCGCCGGCGAUGGUUCAUUCAAAUUUCUGCCCUAUCAACUUUCGAUGGUAGGAUAGUGGCCUACCAUGGUUUCAACGGGUAACGGGGAAUUAGGGUUCUAUUCCGGAGAGGGAGCCUGAGAAACGGCUACCACAUCCAAGGAAGGCAGCAGGCGCGCAAAUUACCCAAUCCCGACACGGGGAGGUAGUGACAAUAAAUACUGAUACAGGGCUCUUUUGGGUCUUGUAAUUGGAAUGAGUACAAUUUAAAUCCCUUAACGAGGAACAAUUGGAGGGCAAGUCUGGGCC